GAGAGACAAAGGACCCGCCAAACCAGAAGCCGCCCUGUUCUUUCCGGCUGUGUGCCUGAUUGGACGUUUCUAGCCCAGCGUCCCUGAUUGGAUAAUGCUUAAGGCCCCGCCCCCUCAGGACCUGAGUGACGGAAGAUGAGAUCAGAUGCCGGGCUGAGUGAAGAAGAGUAACAGUCUAAGCUGCAGCCUUUUCAGUCAGGGCGUCCUCCCUGAGCUGAGCCACGUCCACCCCAGAGCAGGGGAACAUGCUAUCUCUUUUUUACUCUCUCUUUUUGAAUGUAUUGAAAAGUUGAUGAAAUGCCAGAGUGAAAGGGAUAGCCAACUGGACAACAGUGCAAGUACCGUUCCAGUUACUUGGCAGAGUGUCCAGUAAUGGUCCACCACAAUACCACCAUAUAUUUGCUCGAAGAUGAACAAGGGCAGACUUACUGGCUGGAGUGCAAUGGCGUGAUCUCAGCUCGCUACAACCUCCACCUCCCAGCCACCUGCCUUGGCCUCCCAAAGUGCUAAGAUUACAGCCUCUGCCCGGCCGCCACCCC